CUUCUCCCACUGCCUAGAAGGGAAAUUUCUUCCCAGUUGCUCACCUAAUUGUGCACCUUGUCUGCAAUCAAAAAGUUUCACUGGCUCUGUAAGUCCAUCCAGUGGCUGCAGAUGGGAAUUGCAUAUUUUUGAGGAUCUGUGAUGGAACAUGCCUGCCACUUUCACUGUUAAUGGAAAGCAAUGAAAAAUCUGACAGGAUCACUUACAAUAAGGUGUGAUUUCCUGCUGGAAUAAGAUCUGGAGGCCAAAGGGGAGAGGCAUUAAAAAAGCACCACAAAAUUGUGUUAACAGAGUCAACAAAAAUUGUGUUCAUCUGGAGAGUUACAGCCAUGGAAACCUGCAGUUAAUGCUGUUGAAGUGCUGAUGGAAUUGACCCAAAGGAACCCUUUAAAAGGAACUUGGAUUCAGAUGCAGAAGGACUGUGCAUCUGCAUAGAUGAGAGGACCAAAGGAUGUCUCUUUGGGCGUGGUGUCCGUGGGCAUGG